UACGUAGGGGGCAAGCGUUGUCCGGAUUCAUUGGGCGUAAAGAGCGUGUAGGCGGCCAGGUAGGUCGGUUGUGAAAACUGGAGGCUCAACCUUCAGAGGUCGACCGAAACCAUCUGGCUAGAGUCCGGGAGAGGAGAGUGGAAUUCCGAGUGUAGAGGUGAAAUUCGUAGAUAUUCGGAAGAACACCAGUGGCGAAGGCGGCUCACUGGACCGGAACUGACGCUGAGGCGCGAAAGCGUGGGGAGCAAACAGG
rnacentral:rRNA from 1 species